GCUGGUAUAGCUCAGUCGGUAGAGCAGCUGAUUCGUAAUCAGCAGGUCGAAGCAGGCCCAAAAGCCCGCAAACCCGCA
rnacentral:tRNA from 1 species